GACGAACCGUCCUAACGUUGUUCGGAAUCACUGGGCUUAAAGGGCGCGUAGGCGGCUUGCCAAGUCAGGGGUGAAAUCCUGCAGCUUAACUGUAGAAGGGCCUUUUGAUACUGGCGAGCUCGAGGGAGGUAGGGGUAUGUGGAACUUCCGGUGGAGCGGUGAAAUGCGUUGAUAUCGGAAGGAACGCCGGUGGCGAAAGCGACGUACUGGACCUCUUCUGACGCUGAGGCGCGAAAGCUAGGGGAGCAAACGGG
rnacentral:rRNA from 1 species